GAGUUCUGUUCAAUGAUUCAACAAGUCAAAGAUAUAUGCUAAUGGUUGGAAGAAAGGUUAAAAGUGACGGGGGCAAGAGUGAUCGUCGCGAAAGAUAAAGCCACAAACUAGCCACCAUGUUUUAAACUCACAAGUUUUCUUUGAGAAAACAAGAAACAUAUUACCUUCAAAGUAGGGACUUCAGAGCAUAAACAUCAAGGGCUGCAAUGCCUCACUUUUACAAAUGCAGGAAACAAUAUUGCUGCACAAGUUUGAUAAUAAAAUCACGGUA
rnacentral:lncRNA from 1 species